rnacentral:misc_RNA from 1 species
UAAUAAGUGUUUUAUGGCACUUUUUAAAUCCAUAUCCACCUUGUGUGCAAUGUCAGUCGAUCUUCUUCAUGGAGAUCGACCAAACAUCAACCUUUAUUUUUUAACUCUUUGUCUGAAAAACAUUAUGAAUAAACAAUUCAAAAUA